CGGAACAUCUCUAAUUCAAGUGGAAAACCGGUUAACGUCGUUGACUAAUAUUGAUAUUGAUUUAAUACUUUUUAUUGAUAAAAUAUAAAAUCCAAAUGAUUUGAGGAUUCACUUAAUGAUUAAUAUUACCUUCAAGGUAAAUGUCAGCUCAAGGGUUAGCUCAGGUCAUUCCUGGUUUUUUCAUAUCGACUUGAUAUUGAAGCUUAUGUGAAUAUUUUAACUCAUAACAUCACUUUUUUCAUCUUAUUAUCAUCUUUAACUUCCUCAUCUUUGGAUCAAACAUCAUCACCAUCACCAUAAUCAUCGUUGUCAUCAAGUAACUGAACCGUGUUCAUUAAAUUGACCCUCAACAAGUGCUUCCGUCUUGAAGUUUUCAUAUUAUUACUUUGACGGUUGGGUCAAAAUUCAAUACAUUUACCUUAUUGUUCAAUUGAUGAGAAAAACGGCGUUAAACGUUGACCCUCAUGUUAAUCACGGUGAAUUUAAGCGAUUUGGUCAAUCAAAAAGCGCUUCAACAUUUCUUUUCGCAUCAUCCUUUUCACUUUUCACUUAUUAUCGACUUGAUGGUGAUGACCAUCAUUAUCAUCUUUUUUUCUCUCCCUUUCAAUUUCUUUUCACUCUUUGUUUCAUAAAUUACAUUUGAUUCAUUUGAAGCUCGACCUGCUAAAAAUGCAUUUGAAUCAACAUAACAUUUCUCCAUCAUGAUUCAGGUCAAUCAAAAGGAAACUACAAUGAACAAAAUUGUAUUCUCAUUAAUUUUAUGCUUCUCUUUACCAAACAUGACUCUCAAUCUUUGAUUACUUCAACACACAUUUACUUUUACCCUCUUCAUUGUUGUACAUUUCAUUGCAAAACUGUUGCGAUUGUUUGAUUAAGAAGGUAAAAUAUUGAUCUAUCACCGGUUUAGUGACCGUUAAUCGGUAUUAUCAAGACACCAUUUAGUUGUUAAACAUUAAACAUAUUGAACCAUUUUACAAUCAACUCACAA